rnacentral:rRNA from 1 species
CCUACGGGUGGCAGCAGUGGGGAAUAUUGCACAAUGGGGGAAACCCUGAUGCAGCGACGCCGCGUGAGCGAUGACGUAUUUCGGUAUGUAAAGCUCUAUCAGCAGGGAAGAAAAUGACGGUACCUGACUAAGAAGCCCCGUCUAACUACGUGCCAGCAGCCGCGGUUAUACGUAGGGGGCAAGUGUUAUCCGGAUUUACUGGGGGUUAAGGGAGCGUAGACGGUCCUGCAAGCCAGAUGUGAAAGCCCGGGGCUCAAACCCGGGACAGCAUUUGGAACUGGAAGGCGAGAGUGACGGAGAGGUAGGCGGAAUGCCUAGUGUAGCGGUGAAAUGCGUAGAUAUCAGGAGGAACACCAGUGGCGAAGGCGGCCUGCUGGAGGAUGACUGACGUUGAGGCUCGAAAGCGUGGGGAGCGAACAGGAUUAGAUACCCCUGUAGUC